GACGAACGCUGGCGGCGUGCUUAACACAUGCAAGUCGAACGGGGGCUUGCCCUUUGGGGUGGGUUUAGUGGCGAACGGGUGAGUAACACGUGGGUAAUCUGCCCUCAGCUCUGGGAUAACUCCGGGAAACCGGGGCUAAUACUGGAUAUGACUACUGGUGACAUCGCCUGGUGGUGGAAAGAUUUUUUGGCUGAGGAUGGGCCCGCGGCCUAUCAGCUUGUUGGUGGGGUAAUGGCCUACCAAGGCUUCGACGGGUAGCCGGCCUGAGAGGGCGACCGGCCACACUGGGACUGAGACACGGCCCAGACUCCUACGGGAGGCAGCAGUGGGGAAUAUUGCGCAAUGGGCGGAAGCCUGACGCAGCGACGCCGCGUGAGGGAUGACGGCCUGGUU
rnacentral:rRNA from 1 species